GACGAACCGUGCGAACGUUAUUCGGAAUCACUGGGCUUAAAGGGCGCGUAGGCGGGUCCGUCAGUCAGGGGUGAAAUCCCACGGCCCAACCGUGGAAGGGCCUUUGAUACUGCGGGCCUCGAGGGGGAUAGGGGCGUGCGGAACUCAGGGUGGAGCGGUGAAAUGCGUAGAUAUCCUGAGGAACACCGGUGGCGAAAGCGGCGCGCUGGAGCCCUUCUGACGCUGAGGCGCGAAAGCCAGGGGAGCAAACGGG
rnacentral:rRNA from 1 species